GCUCGUGGAUCGAUGAAGACCGCAGCUAAAUGCGCGUCAGAAUGUGAACUGCAGGACACAUGAACACCGACAAGUUGAACGCAUAUUGCACAUCGUACAACAGUACGAUGUACACAUUUUUGAGUGCCUAUAUUUAUCGAUUUAACUGUGCCCGCUCGGUUCGCCCGGGUGGGUACGCAUCAUGGUGUUUUGCUGCCUUCGGUGGCUUGGCAAAACACUUAAGACUCUCCAGUCCCACAGGAGACACGACGGACGACCCCUGCGGUCGCCGGCCCCUUGGACGCGAGAUACAUCCCACGCAUUCACCAACCUGGCUUGGGCGCGAUGUACAUCUCGAUAAAAGCGUCCGGCUCGGCGGCAGCAGCGUCCACAUCCAAACUGAUAUGUAGGCCUCAAAUAAUGUGUGACUACCCCCUAAAUUUAAGCA
rnacentral:rRNA from 1 species